UCGAAAUGAAUCGCUUGUUAAUGGCUAAAGCUUUGAUUGUGUGUGUGUCUGAGAAUGGAUGUUUUUAACAAUAAAUUUACAAAAAAACGGAUAUAAUGCUUGCAUGUUUUGAAUGAAACAUGUGAGGUGAGACAACGGAAGGAUGAAUGUGCUAUAUAACAGGAGGACUGAGUUGACGAGAAAGCGCCAGGGAGAGAAAAAGAGAGAAUAAUCCCUCAAAGCCCAGGAGGAUUAAGCAUCCAGAGAGCAUCACGCCAUAUUACAGAGAGAUGUUUUUAACCUCAGGUCAACUACCCAGAAACCACCUCUCACUAAUUUCAGCAUAGUAGGAGGAGAGGAAAAAGUGUCCAUUUCUGAACAAGUGCAAAUAGCAGCAGUAGAUUAGCUUUAAGAAAGAAGAAAUAGAGACAGGCAAAAAUGCUGCAUGUGCAACAAUAAUUAAAAUUUUUAAUUAUUGUAGCUAACAGUAUUUGUCUGUAUUCUUUUGACUUUUCAUUUAUAAUAUUUGUUUUUGUUGUGCUUAGAUUUUGAUAGAUUUUUAGAUAGAUAGAUAGAUAGAUAGAUAGAUAGAUAGAUAGAUAGAUAGAUAGAUAGAUAGAUAGAUUUUAUUUUAGGAAGCCUUGAAGUAUCCAUAGCUGAACAAUUGCUUUUGAGAUGAAUGGGAAAGCUAAUGUAUAGGUUUCUCCCUGAUAUUGCACACCUUCUUUGUUGAUUCCUUCUCAUGAUAAUAUUGCACACCUGGUCCUCAACUGUGCACACCUGGUUCUGGUCUAGUUAGUUCCUCAUUAACCGUGUAUAUGUAUACCCUUGUGUUUACCUCUUGUUUAUGAUCAGCAUGGUUGCAGUUUUUGUUUCAUGAACCAAUAGUCAGUUCCACCACUGGGCAUCGGAUCAGAGGCACACAGCUUUUCACUUCACAAGACAUUGAUUGAUGGACUGGAGUUGUGUGGAUUACUUGUGGAUUAUUUUCAUGUUUUUAUCAGCUGUUUAAACUCUCAUUCUGACGGCACCCAUUCACUGCAGUGGAUCAAGUGAUAUCAUGUUAAAUUUCUCAAAAUCUGUUCUGCUGAAGAAACAUUCUCACCUACAUCUUGGAUGGCCUGAGGGUGAGUAAAUAUUAAGCAAAGUUUUAAUCUCUGGGUGAGCUAUUCUUUUAAGUAACAGGAAACUGACCAUACAGUAUGUGACUUGGCAGCAUGAAUGGGCAGAACAAAUGCACAUCUAUAACUGUGAAUUUGGUUUAGGGCAUGGGAGGUAACUAUGACACUGCACUGUAAAAAAAAAAUAAUAAUAAUAAUAAUAAGUGUAUGACCAUUGAUCAAGGGGUUUUCCACCAAAGACAUUAUAGUCAGGUUGACAAGAGCAGAUGACUUGAAACGUAUCAAAAUGGUGAGUCACUCAUGUCAUUAUGGAAAUUCACCUAAGGCAUCUAACGUUCCACAUGAAACACAUGUGAUAUUUGCAUAGUGAUUCUGCCUGCUGCAUUCAGA
ensembl:lncRNA